rnacentral:tRNA from 1 species
AGGAUUAUAGCUCAGUGGUAGAGCACUUGCCUAGCAUGCAUGAAGCCCUGGGUUCAAUCCUA